rnacentral:tRNA from 3 species
GGGCACUUGGUCUAAUGGUAGAACAUCGGCAUAAUUCCAUUCCAUGUUUGUUUGUUAGUGUUAGAAAUCUCUAUUGUUAGUCGAAGAUGCGGGUUCGAUUCCCGUAGUGCCCA